rnacentral:tRNA from 1 species
UCCCUGAGGGUCUAGUGGUUAAGACCCUGUGCUUCCAGUUCAGGGGAUACAGGUUUGAUCCCUGCUCAGGGAA